AAGGCGACGACGGGUAGCCGGCCUGAGAGGGCGACCGGCCACACUGGGACUGAGACACGGCCCAGACUCCUACGGGAGGCAGCAGUGGGGAAUAUUGCACAAUGGGCGAAAGCCUGAUGCAGCGACGCCGCGUGAGGGAUGACGGCCUUCGGGUUGUAAACCUCUUUCAGCAGGGAAGAAGCGAAAGUGACGGUACCUGCAGAAGAAGCGCCGGCCUAACUACGUGCCAGCAGCCGCGGUAAUACGUAGGGCGCAAGCGUUGUCCGGAAUUAUUGGGCGUAAAGAGCUCGUAGGCGGCUUGUCACGUCGGUUGUGAAAGCCCGGGGCUUAACCCCGGGUCUGCAGUCGAUACGGGCAGGCUAGAGUUCGGUAGGGGAGAUCGGAAUUCCUGGUGUAGCGGUGAAAUGCGCAGAUAUCAGGAGGAACACCGGUGGCGAAGGCGGAUCUCUGGGCCGAUACUGACGCUGAGGAGCGAAAGCGUGGGGAGCGAACAGGAUUAGAUACCCUGGUAGUCCACGCCGUAAACGGUGGGCACUAGGUGUGGGCAACAUUCCACGUCGU
rnacentral:rRNA from 1 species